GCCUACGGCCAUACCACCCUGAAAGCGCUCAAUAUCGUCUGAUCUCGGAAGCUAAGCAGGGACGGGCCUGGUUAGUACCUGGAUGGGAAAGUGCGAACGUUCGCGAACUUUGCGAA
rnacentral:rRNA from 1 species